ACAAGGGCGAUACGUUUGAAACUAUACAGCUGAAGAUUUUAUCGCCGAGACCUUUAUUCAACUAUUCCGGCGAUUUGCAGCUAGGCGAUCAUGUCCGAGGCGUUUGAUUAGUGAUAACGCCAUUAAUUUUGUAGGUAGCUCCCUUUUCUUAAUAGAGAUUAUGAAACACUCUAGUAAAACAAUCACUGGAGGCGAGAAAGUGUGUUUGGACUUUCAUAACUGCCCGAGCACUUUGGCAAAAUGAGUUCACAGAAUGUUAGGCAUAGUAAAGAAUUGCCUAAAAAAGACUCCACCGGACAAAAUUAACCCUGGAAGAAUUAAUUAAGAACUAUAAUAAUUAAAAUCGAAAACAGUGUCGAUAAUCGCCCCUUGACUUACAUAGAUGAUUCCCCAUAAAUAUAGAAGCUCUGACUCCAUCGCACUUAUCACUGGAAGAAGAACUGAAGCCUCGGUGCAGAAGUCAGUGAUCCCACAGUAAACGAUCCAGCACGUCUCAGAGCUAGCUACCAUAAUUUGAUUAAGAUUUUGGAAAGUAGGGAUAAACAUUGGAUCUCUGAUUAUCUAUUGAGUUUGAGGGAGAGGUUUUACGGUGCUCAAUUGCCAGAGCCUACUGUCCACUGAAAGUGAGGGAUAUAGUCUUGAUAAAGAGUGACACGCCUCGUUCCCAGUUGCCACUCCGGAAAAUUGUCUCUUUGCAAGUCGAUGGGGGUGGGGUCGUAAGAUAAGUAGAAUUGAUGGUUAGCGGUCAACAGUGUCUAAGAUCAACUAACAAUCUCAUCCCCCUGGAAUUGUCUGAAGGGCCAGAGGACCAAUCCCUGCAUUCGUCUUGUGAGACCAGCGAGGGAACGUUAAGGCCUCAGAGAUCAUUGGCUCUGAGAUCUAGCUCGGCUUGGAGGAAGUUAAUCCCAGGAGGGUGACAUUAUACUUGAGGCACUCUCUCAUGUUCGGCGGGCUCCAGCUGUGGAAGUAAUUUUGUUGGUAUUUGUUGUAUAAUUAUUGUUAUUAAUGUAAUGCAAUUCAACUAGAAUUAAGAAACUAGUGCUAAUAGUUUAAUACCACAAAAAAUGUUUAGAAGCGGUGUGGAGAGUGCUUCGAACGUAAUCAAGGUUCAAAUGUCGACGAGGCACCUGCUGACGUGGCAACCCUUAUUAAUUUGUGAGGACAGAACAGCCAGCGCCUGGCUCUCUGAUACUAUAAUAGACCCCAAAGGAAACACAGUUUCCCCGUGCUGUUAAAAAAAGUUAUCAUAACUUGAGAAACACACCGAAGAAAAAGGCUGUUAAGCGUUAAAUACCCAGACCGAGUGCGAGUACCCGUGCCAAGCUGCCGCCACGCUGGAGUCGUGAGGACAAACACGGCCGCUACCACCUUCGGGAUUCUGCUGAUGCCUCCACUACGUACAUUCUCCCAACUCUCCGAGAUCCACAGCUAAGUAGCAGUUUAGGGUUGGCCAACUCUAUUUAUCUUAGUUUGAAAUAGGAGUAAGGGAGGUUUUAAGGUAAGUCACUUCCUUGACUGUGAUUGGUGGUCAAUAUUAACCUCGUAAUCUGAGGUUAUUUCCCACAGGAACACUACCCAGAAAUUUACUCUAAAAUGGGGGGCUUCCUCUUUGCUGCCAUUUAAGACAGCCAUUUGUAUUGGCCAGGGAGGGAUCCUGUCUCUCUACCUGUACAACGUCUACACAGAUGAUCUCACUGCCGCUCUGCGUGACACAGCACAGGCUGCCGCUUACAUGAUAGGUGCAUCAACUCGCUGAGUUAUGCUGAUGACAUGGUACUGUGGCGCCCACAGUGGAGGCUCUGCAGGACCUUACUGGAGUGUGUCAGGCAUAUGCUGCUACGCACAAUAUUGUCUACAACACCACCAAGACAGAGUGCAUGAUAGUGCCGCCGCCACACUCCAGGGUGGACCACCAGACAUCGGCGUGGCUCAGUGGGAGUGCCCUGACAUUUGUGGAUAGAUCCACCUACCUGGGCCACGUCAUCAACAGGGAAAGGACUGAUAAUGAUGACAUCAAGAAACAGACCGCCAAGCACACAGUCAUCGGCAACACGCUGCUGAGGAAGUUCCUCUGCAGCAAAGAGGUGAGGUUGGAGUUAUUCAGGAGCCACUGUUACUCACUCUACUGCAACUCGCUGUGGUCGCGGUAUAGGGCUGCCUCCAUGAACCGUCUUAGGGUCUGUCCUAACGACAUCCUUAAGCGGCUACUGGGGCUUCCUAGAUGGACUAGCUCAUCCCUGGCCUUCACCGGGCACGGGAUGGACUGUCUGGCUGUGCUGCGUCGCCUCGCCGCGUACAGUAUGAGGAGUAGAGUGGAGCAUCUGGUAACUCCAUCACCACCUCCGCCAGACAGAGCCCGGCCUAUGUGUGUGGACCUAUGCGGCGAGACUGGCUGGACCUGUUUGUGUAGAGUCGUGCACAAGCGUGCGGUGCACACGCUUAUAAGAACAUAAGAACGCAGGAGUCUACAAGAGGCCGGUAGGCCUGUACCAGGCAGCUCCUUUGACCCUAAGCUCCCGUGUAUCUAACCCCACCUAAUAUCGCUGUCCAUGAAUUUAUCUAAUCUAUUUUUGAAUGUGACAAUUGUAUUGGCACUCACCACAUGACUGCUAAGCCUAUUCCACUCAUCCACCACCCUGUUAGUAAACCAAUUUUUGCCUAUGUCCCUGUUGAAUUUGAAUUUAUCCAGUUUAAACCCAUUACUUCGUGUCCUACCCGGUUCUCUUACCAACAAAACCUUAUGAAUGUCUCCCUUAUUAAGGCCCUUCAUCCAUUUAUAAACCUCGAUCAUGUCUCCACGCACCCUUCGCCUUUCUAGAGAAUGCAAGUUUCACUGUUUGAGUCUUUCCUCGUAUGGCAAGUUUCUCAACCCCUGAAUCAUCUUAGUCAUCCUCCUCUGCACCGAUUCUAACAUUUUGAUAUUCAUUCUAUAGUAAGGUGACCAGAACUGAACCGCAUAGUCAGGAUGAGGUCUAACUAAUGCUAAAUAUAGUUUGCGGAAGACUUCGGGGCUUCUGUUGCUUACGCUCCUUGAAAUAAAUCCCAGUACCCUAUUUGCUCGAUUUCAAGCUUGAAUGCAUUGUGCCCUUGGACGGAGAUCAGAGCUCACUAAGACCCCUAAAUCCCUCUCGCACCCAGACCUGCUUAUGAGUGUCAUUUAAGCAAUAGUUAUGUGAGGGGUUGUUCCUACCUACACUCAGAAUACUGCACUUCCCUACAUUGAACUCCAUCUGCCAUUUAUCCGUCCAUUCAUACAAUCUGUUGAGUUCACCUUGGAGAAUACUAGCGUCCCGAUCCGACUCAAUUACUCUACCGAUCUUGGUAUCAUCUGCAAAUUUACUAACAUCACUACUAAUUCCUGUAUCUCAGUCAUUGAUAUAAAUAAUAAACAAAAGUGGACCUAAUACCGAACCUUGUGGGACCCCACUCGUAACACAUCCCCAGUCAGAUCUUUUACCAUUGAUUUGCACUCUUUGCUUCCUAUUUCUAAGCCACGCUUUGACCCAGUUCAAAACUUUACCCUCUACUCCGUGAGCCUGUAAUUUAAGCAACAGUCGUUGGUGAGGAACUUUGUCAAACGCUUUACUAAAAUCAAGAUAGAUUACAUCAUAAUUUUCAUCUCUGUCAACCGCCUCAAAUACUUUAUUGUAGAAGGACAAAAGAUUGGUGAGGCAUGACCUACCUUUUGUGAACCCAUGCUGCGAGUCGUGAAUUAAGCUAUGUUUCUCUAAAUGCUCCCGAAUGUUCCUGGCUAUUAUGGACUCCAGCAUCUUCCCUAUAACCGAUGUUAAGCUAAUUGGGCGAUAGUUUGAAGCAACUGACCUGUCCCCCUUUUUAAAAAUCGGCGUCACAUUUGCUACUUUCCAUAGGCUCGGCACAUAGCCAGUAUUUACCGACAUCUUAAAGAUGUCGGUUAGUGGGUCACUGAGUGCAUCACCUAAUUCCUUUUUUAAGGUCGAUAAUUAUUUAGGCGUAAUUGCUUGUAGGUCGAUUUCCUUCUCUUUCCUGUAUUGUUUCUUUAUAUAUGCCGCUGGGUGAAAUAAAACUAUUAUUAUUAUUAUUAUUAUUAUUAUUAUUAUUAUUAUUAAACUUUUACAGGUCACGUAAUCAUACAUACAUUUUUAUUCGCGUCACACAUAUGUAUUAAUUGCAGUCAAGCCGCGUGAAUAUUAGCAUGCUAUGAAAACAGACAGGAAGCUUUAGCCAUUCAUUAAUACUAUCGAGUUCUCUACCUUCCGGGAAACAAGUUCCAGGGUUAGGCUACGUGGUGUGCUGUCUCCUCAUAUCUUUUAACUACUACUAGAAAUUUACAUUAAUCUUUAUUUUCAUCCGUGAAAAAAAAAUCUAGCUCCUAUAAGAUGGCCCCUAGAUUUAGACUUUUGCCAUCAGCCAUCAUGGUCGUCUUGGCAGCAGCAGGGCGUGGUACGGUCGGGAAUUACGAAACGCUGCCGGGGUGGGUUGGUAUCAGUGGGCUGGGACGUGCUGCACAAACCCUCUUUUUAGUAAACUAAUUGACGGGCGCACAAAGUCAUUACAUCAGAGGUCGUAUUAUCUUAAGUAAAAGAUAGGUAUAGGGAACUGUAUCUACUACUACUACUGAUACUACUACUACUACUACUACUACUA